GUAGUGUGUGUGUUACCUGUAAGGACUAGAUGUAGGGGUAGUGUGUGUGUGUUACCUGUAAGGACUAGAUGUAGGGGUAGUGUGUGUGUGUUACCUGUAAGGACUAGAUGUAGGGGUAGUGUGUGUGUGUGUUACCUGUAAGGACUAGAUGUAGGGGUAGUGUGUGUGUUACCUGUAAGGACUAGAUGUAGGGGUAGUGUGUGUGUUACCUGUAAGGACUAGACGUAGGGGUAGUGUGUGUGUGUUACCUGUAAGGACUAGAUGUAGGGGUAGUGUGUGUGUUACCUGUAAGGACUAGAUGUAGGGGUAGUGUGUGUGUUACCUGUAAGGACUAGGUGUAGGGGUAGUGUGUGUGUGUUACCUGUAAGGACUAGACGUAGGGGUAGUGUGUGUGUGUUACCUGUAAGGACUAGAUGUAGGGGUAGUGUGUGUGUGUUACCUGUAAGGACUAGAUGUAGGGGUAGUGUGUGUGUGUUACCUGUAAGGACUAGACGUAGGGGUAGUGUGUGUGUGUUACCUGUAAGGACUAGAUGUAGGGGUAGUGUGUGUGUGUUACCUGUAAGGACUAGAUGUAGGGGUA
rnacentral:lncRNA from 1 species